GAAAGAAAAAAAUAGAGGUGUUGGAUCUGGACUCAUCAAUUAUUGUGGCAGAUUCAACAACUAUCAGGCUAGGGCGCAUGGUGGAAAAUAGCCAGAAUAAAACAUGGAAUCACAUUCAAAAUGGACCAAUCAAAACAUUUCAAAACGCCAAUGUGGAUAGCCAACUUAGAUAGCCUGAAACAACUCCGGACAUCUUCUCCGGUGAUCCCUCAUCGAAGCUUCAUCGUUUG
rnacentral:lncRNA from 1 species